UACGUAGGGUGCGAGCGUUACUCGGAAUUACUGGGCGUAAAGCGUGCGCAGGCGGUUCGUUAAGUCAGAUGUGAAAGCCCCGAGCUCAACUUGGGAACUGCAUUUGAAACUGGCGGGCUGGAGUGUGGCAGAGGGGGGUGGAAUUCCACGUGUAGCAGUGGAAUGCGUAGAGAUGUGGAGGAACACCGAUGGCGAAGGCAGCCCCCUGGGCCAACACUGACGCUCAGGCACGAAAGCGUGGGGAGCAAACAGG
rnacentral:rRNA from 1 species